rnacentral:rRNA from 1 species
CAGUCGCCGCGGUAAUGCGAAGGGGGCUAGCGUUGUUCGGAAUUACUGGGCGUAAAGCGCACGCAGGCGGCUCGAUAAAUUAGAAGUGAAAGCCUUGGGCUUAACCUGAGAAUUGCUUUUAAGACUGUCGAGCUAGAAUCCAGAAGAGGGUAGUGGAAUUCCGAGUGUAGAGGUGAAAUUCGUAGAUAUUCGGAAGAACACCAGUGGCGAAGGCGACAACCUGGUCCAUGACUGACGCUGAGGCGCGAAAGCGUGUGGAGCAAACAGGAUUAGAUACCCCAGUAGUCCCUGUCUCUUAUAC